AAUCAAUUGAUGAGAAAAAACUGCAACAAUAUGAUGGAAUAACGUUCCAUGAUUCAUGGUAUUUAAGUCCUCUGAUGAAAUUGAUU